rnacentral:rRNA from 1 species
CGUGGAGACAGGUGGUGCAUGGCUGUCGUCAGCUCGUGUCGUGAGAUGUUGGGUUAAGUCCCGCAACGAGCGCAACCCUCACCCCUUGUUGCCAUCAGGUAAUGCUGGGCACUCUAGGGGAACUGCCCCGGUCAACGGGGAGGAAAGGCGGGGAUGACGUCAAGUCAUCAUGCCCCUUACGCCCUGGGCUACACACGUGCUACAAUGGCCGGUACAAAGGGAUGCGAGACCGCGAGGUGGAGCCAAACCCAAAAAACCGGUCUAAGUUCAGAUUGCAGUCUGCAACUCGACUGCAUGAAGGAGGAAUCGCUAGUAAUCGCGUAUCAGCACGACGCGGUGAAUACGUUCCCGGGCCUUGUACACACCGCCCGUCACACCACGAAAGUCAGCUGUACUCGAAGUCGCUGAG